UGUUUGUUUGCCAUGAAAAUAAAUUAUUUUCCGGCAAUCUCUAUGCAUUUUGUCCAUGCAUAUACAUUUUAUUGGGGUUACGUUAUGUAGAUCCAUGAAUUCUAGCAUACAUGUAGUCAUAAGUUGUGCAAUAUUUUUGUCUUAUUCAUGUGUAAUAGUUUUUAACUUCACUUGUAUAAGUAUGGGAAAGACAAAUAAGGUAUUUGUCAUGUACUUGUUUAGCCUAGAAGCAUGCCGAUAUCUAAUGAAUCAAGGGGAGUUAGUUUAACACUUUACUCAGAAGAUAUUACAGUUAAUUAUCUUUAUAUUAUACUUCAGCUCCCAAGUCCUAAUUAUUCAUUCCCUAGGAAUAUUAGAAGGUUGCUGCACAUCGGUACUGAAAUCCAGGCUACCCGGUUUUCUUCUUGGACUUGCACAAGCUCCCUCUGGUUUCUGAAGUUCAAGGGGAUGACAUGGUUGCUGCAGUUCGGCACUGAAAUCCAGACAACAAGACAAGGUGCAGGCAGCAAGACAAGGAUCUAGCUCAAUAUGUUGCCUGGUCAGCUCACAUGGGCACGCCUCUCCCUUCACCCACAACGGACGAGUAGCCAAACUGCAUCGAGCUGGAUGAUAACGCUGCAGAUGCCAAUGAUGAGAAGUGUGAGGAGAAGCUUAAGAAGGAGAACAUACCUUAUGCUUAUGAGUACAAUUACAUUCAUAUUUAUUUUCUGAACUACAUGUUGGUAGAUGGUACGUAUUCUGAAGCUGCAAUCAUUCACAAACUACAACAUUCUGAAACUGUACCUAUUCCGAAUUUACAACAAUCGCUAACAGAGCAAUAUGACUGUAUGGUGAGUAUUUUCUCGAGUAAAUUGAUAAGAAAAUUAGUAAAUCUGGGGUAGUUCCCUUACAAUCGCUAACAAUCGCUAUGGAAGUCUCCGUGCUCAUUGACCAUUUAGGCAGUCUUGAAGUUUGUUGGUAAAUUGAUGUUGCAGCUACAAUGCUUAGCUGGUAUUUUUUUUGUUACUCGACGACAUUUUACUUAGUGCAUUGUUUCUUUGGUUUUUGAAUUUAUGGGGAAAUCAUAACAAUGAGUGAAUUCAGAAACCAUGGGUGUGGUCUCAGGCUGUCGAGAGCAUGUUUGGCGCAUAUGUACACACCAUGUGGCAUGUGUUUUGCAUAUCCUACCUCUCGCUCCUUGGUACUUCUGACGGAUAUGGAAGACAAGGAGGGACUAGACAAGCAAAUAUGAAGUUCAUCAUGCUACAAUACCUUCUUGAGGGAACAAAACCAAAGUGAUUCAAUGAUUUUUCCUGCAGCUCAAAACAUACUUUU